UACGAAGGGGGCUAGCGUUGUUCGGAAUUACUGGGCGUAAAGCGCACGCAGGCGGUUCGAUAAGUCAGGGGUGAAAUCCCGGGGCUCAACCUCGGAAUUGCCUUUGAUACUGUCGAUCUCGAGUCCGGGAGAGGUGAGUGGAAUUCCUAGUGUAGAGGUGAAAUUCGUAGAUAUUAGGAAGAACACCAGUGGCGAAGGCGGCUCACUGGCCCGGUACUGACGCUCAGGUGCGAAAGCGUGGGGAGCAAACAGG
rnacentral:rRNA from 1 species